AAUUUUGUGCAGUGGCAGCACCAUACAAAUGAGGUUUAUCCAAGGCACAACCAUCGCUAAUUGAAAACUUUUCCCAAUACCCCACCAUGACAACUUGCUAUAUAGUUGGCACUGAUAAUUUUUGAUGGUCCCUAAGGAGA
rnacentral:snRNA from 1 species